rnacentral:rRNA from 1 species
AAUCAACGCUGGCGGCGUGCCUAACACAUGCAAGUCGAGCGGGAAAGGGGGCUUCGGUCCCUGGGUAUAGCGGCGGACGGGUGAGUAACACGUGGGUAAUUUGCCCUUGGGUGUGGAAUAACUCAGGGAAACUUGAGCUAAUACCGCAUGACAUCCCCUUCUCACAGGAGUUGGGGAUCAAAGCCGGGGACCCUUCGGGGCCUGGCGCCUGAGGAGAAGCCCGCGCCCGAUUAGCUAGUUGGUGAGGAAUGGCUCACCAAGGCUUCGAUCGGUAGCCGGCCUGAGAGGGCGGACGGCCACACUGGGACGUGAGACACGGCCAGACUCCUACGGGAGGCAGCAGUGGGGAAUUUUGGGCAAUGGGCGCAAGCCUGACCCAGCAACGCCGCGUGAGGGAGG